rnacentral:rRNA from 1 species
UACGGAGGGGGCAAGCGUUAUCCGGAUUCACUGGGCUUAAAGGGCGCGUAGGUGGGCCGGUAAGUCAGUGGUGAAAUCUUUGGGCUUAACCCGAAAACUGCCAUUGAUACUAUUUGUCUUGAAUAUUGUGGAGGUCAGCGGAAUAUGUCAUGUAGCGGUGAAAUGCUUAGAUAUGACAUAGAACACCAAUUGCGAAGGCAGCUGGCUACACAUAUAUUGACACUGAGGCGCGAAAGCUAGGGGAGCAAACAGG